UUUUUAAAGGUUGAAAUGGGCUUUUUAAAUCUCUGUCAAUACAUCUCCAUUAACUCUGUUAUUUAUCAGCAUGGGAGUCAGCUCAUGGUGACAGAGCGACUGAAUUCAUAAUUACAGGAAAAAAAAAAGAACAACAAAACAAACAGAAAAACAAGAUCAGAGAAAGUUGUUAACCUUGAAAAUUUUGAUGAUUUCAGAGGUCUAAUAUUCUUUUUUUAAAUUAGCAUAUUACAAUUAUGUUAAUGGGUAAGGUGGUGAGGUGUAUAAGUCACAAGUUUCUUUUCAUGUGUUCAGCUCUUAGAUACAGGACAGCCGGGGUGCACAGGACUACUGGAGUAAGGGAAGCCAGUGUGCCCCAUGUUGAACUUGUUAGUCUUUAUGUUUCCAUCCUUUCCCAGUGGCCAAGAUUGGUUUGUGUCUGACGAAGUUCUUUCCAGAGUUGGGUAGCCUCCAAGACUUGCUUUCUCUCGGCUCUUUCACACUCACCCUCUCUGCCUUCAAAGCUACUUUUUCACUUGUCUAUUUACUAGGAACCUGGUAUGUACAAUGACUCACCAUCCUCAAGAUUCCAGCCCAAUCUUCUGCACUUCCACAUUGGUUUUCCACCCCCUGUUUCUUUAGCCUACAGCCUAGAGAAAGCUUCUGAACUGAGAACCCCUCAUUGAUGUUCAAUAUCUAAAUGGAAUCUUCUACUGACAGAAAGAAAAAGCUGGAGCCUGGUACUAGUCAGAGCAGGAGCUUGUCUUCUGGAAGGAGGUUUUACAGAGUGCUGACAACUGGUCAGAACACCAUAUGGGAGAGACUGGAACAAUGCCGAUGACGGUUAGGACCACAACUAGCUGGGACUAUUCAUCUAUGCAUAUCCCCAGCCUUCUACUUAACUAAAGUAUUAAUGCAGCUCUUUAAAUUGGCUGAUUGAAGAUGAAUGACCAGGCCCAUCUUGUGAUGGAUUCCAGAGCCCAGAAAUAACUUGUAUGCCAACAACCCUGUCUCAACAUUACUUCUAUUCUGACAGCACUGAUAUUUCCUAUUUUAUUUAAACUAACACUGUCUACUCAGAUGUACUUUAUAUCAUCAUUUGAGGACCACCACCCAACAAAGCCUUGCUUUCCUAAUGGAAACACUUUACAGUUCUUUAAUUCCACAUACUUAGGGAACAUGGUCAGGAUUUUGUAGAUCUUAUUCAUGAUAGUACCAAGUAAUUGUGCUUCAUAAUGGUUUAGAGUUUCAAUGUAAGUAGAGACCAGAAAAAAUAGUAUAGGAAACAGAAUUGUUGAAAAAGAAGGGAAACAGUGGUUGUAAUUCCAUUUACUUAGGAGGCUAAUGCAGAAGAUCCCAAGGUCAAAGCCAACCUAGGUAACUCAGUGAGACUCUGACUUAAGAUAAAAUGUAAAAAGAGGAUGAGGGUUCAGUUGUAAAAGCACUGUCCUGACAUGCAAGAAGCCUUGGUUUCAAUACUUAGUACUGUUUUAAAAUAUUACACAAUGUUCUGGGUAAAACACCACAGAAGAUGUGCCCUUAGUCCUUUUCCUGAGAGCUAAUAAAUUCAAUUUUUUUCAUCUGUCAUCUAAAAAUGUAAAAGGAAUUUAUGU